GAUGAAGAACGCAGUGAAAUGCGAUAAGUAAUGUGAAUUGCAGAAUUCAGUGAAUCAUCGAAUCUUUGAACGCACAUUGCGCCCGCCAGUAUUCUGGCGGGCAUGCCUGUUCGAGCGUCAUUUCAACCAUCAAGCCCCAGGCUUGUGUUGGGGACCUGCGGCUGCCGCAGGCCCUGAAAACCAGUGGCGGGCUCGCUGUCACACCGGGCGUAGUAGAUUUUAUCUCGCUCAGGGCGUGCUGUGGGUUCCGGCCGUUAAAAAGCCUUUUUUACCCAAGGUUGACCUCGGAUCAGGUAGGAAGACCCGCUGAACUUAAGCAUAUCAAUAAGCGGAGGA
rnacentral:misc_RNA from 1 species